rnacentral:rRNA from 1 species
GCGCGCGGCGGGCGGGGCGGGGGCACGGGGGGAACGCGAAGAACCUUACCUACUCUUGACAUCCAGAGAACUUAGCAGAGAUGCUUUGGUGCCUUCGGGAACUCUGAGACAGGUGCUGCAUGGCUGUCGUCAGCUCGUGUUGUGAAAUGUUGGGUUAAGUCCCGCAACGAGCGCAACCCUUAUCCUUUGUUGCCAGCGGUUCGGCCGGGAACUCAAAGGAGACUGCCAGUGAUAAACUGGAGGAAGGUGGGGAUGACGUCAAGUCAUCAUGGCCCUUACGAGUAGGGCUACACACGUGCUACAAUGGCGCAUACAAAGAGAAGCGACCUCGCGAGAGCAAGCGGACCUCAUAAAGUGCGUCGUAGUCCGGAUUGGAGUCUGCAACUCGACUCCAUGAAGUCGGAAUCGCUAGUAAUCGUAGAUCAGAAUGCUACGGUGAAUACGUUCCCGGGUCUUGUACACACCG